rnacentral:rRNA from 1 species
CCUACGGGAGGCAGCAGUGAGGAAUAUUGGUCAAUGGACGAGAGUCUGAACCAGCCAAGUAGCGUGAAGGAUGACUGCCCUAUGGGUUGUAAACUUCUUUUAUAAAGGAAUAAAACGAGGCACGUGUGCCUUUUUGCAUGUACUUUAUGAAUAAGGAUCGGCUAACUCCGUGCCAGCAGCCGCGGUAAUACGGAGGAUCCGAGCGUUAUCCGGAUUUAUUGGGUUUACAGGGAGCGUAGAUGGGUUGUUAAGUCAGUUGUGAAAGUUUGCGGCUCAACCGUAAACUUUCAAUUGAUACUGGCAGUCGUGAGUACAGUUGAGGUAGGCGGAAUUCGUGGUGUAGCGGUGAAAUGCUGAGAUAUCACGAAGAACCCCGAUUGCGAAGGCAGCUUACUAAACUGUGACUGACAUUGAUGCUCGAAAGUGUGGGUAUCAAACAGGAUUAGAUACCCCAGUAGUC